rnacentral:lncRNA from 1 species
UAUCACUGGAUGAUUGGGUUGCAAACUUUUUUAAUACUUAUUCUGCAAUUUCCAAAUUUUCAGCACAGUGGUUAUUGUUACGAUCAAGUAAUAAGCACAUAUUAUAAAAGCUCUCAAGGUACUAAACACGGGUACUGCCAAGCCUUUCACUGCUGACCUCCUCCUCUAGAAUAUUCCUGCUUUUAAAGGCUCCAUUUUCUGCUUACCUAAGAAAGCUCUUGAGAAGCCUCUGACACUGCUUCUCAGACUGUGCACAGCCCCUCAGUUGUGAUACUGUGAUCUGCUCGCACAUCCCAUGCACAUCAUUCCUACUCAUUAAUUUUAUGAGUGGAAACAUAGAUGAGAUCCCUGGCAAAGUCACACAGGUGUAUCCUUGCAGGUGGAAUUUGAACUUGUAUCAUUUAGUUACCAAGCUUGUUCAUUCAGGAGUCUAAACUUGCAGAUUCCAUUUCUUUCCAAAGAGUCUUAACUUGCAGAUUCCAUUUCUUUUCCAAGAUGAAAAAUGGAAGGUUUUCAAUGUAACCUGGAAAAGACUGAGUUCAGAACAAACCCAUACACCCAGCAUCUUAGCCAACAACUCUGCUUGCAUCUACAUGGAACAGCUCAAACUCAAUUUGUAGAAACUCUUCCAGAAGCUCCCUACUGCUCAUUGAGUCACAUGGAAAUGGAUUCCAGAAAUUAUCUCCCUAUCAUCUCUCCAUGUCUCAGCCUCUAUGCUCACCUGCCUACUGAGUACCUCACCAGCUUCUAUGUUCAAGUAGUUCAAAACAACUACCACCUUCACUCCGACCCAGAGUCUCUCCUGGACUUGAGCAUAUUUCUACAAUAAUUCAUCCUUUCGGUCAGAUGCUAACCUUCAGUCAGCCAGUCAGCUGUGAGUACGUUGAGACUUUCCUCCUCCAGACCCGUUCCUUGGUCUAAAUGCCACCACCCUCAGUUGCCCCCCAUACUGCCAUAAUACUGUCACACCAGGUAGCCUAGUCUAUGAUCUCCUAAGGUCUAGAGCCCAUAAACCACAGCUGCUUCAAUUCUCUAAAGCACCAUGUUAAUGCCCUUGGUCAAAAACAUUCAUUAGUUCCCCCAAAUUGAUCAAAUAAAACCCAAACACACCUUUAUAGGCUGUUGAAU